GUGCCUUUAUUGUUUAUAUAUAUUAUAUUUUAAUUUUUUAGUCGAAGUUAGUUCUGAUUCUGAGUUGGAUGACUGUAAGUAUCAAAUAAAAUUGUACUUACCACAAUAUACUUUAAAUAAAUAUAAUAUAUUUUAGCAAUUGAAAAAAAUGAUGAAAAUGACGAUAAUGAAGAAUCAAUAAUUGAUUACGAGGCCGAAAACUUACAACGUAAUCGAACGUAUAGGAUUAUACCAGGCGUUCACAACAAAUCAAGUGUAUACAUAGACAAUUUAUAUUAUAAAUAUUAUAAAAAAAGUGUUGUAAAAAAUAAAAUGUACUUGAUUUGUGAAAAGCAAAGGAACAAAAAAGUGGAGCAAUAUUGUCCAGCUACAGCUAUUAUUAAUAUAGAAACUGAAGAAAAUUAUUUAGACCUUCAGCCUGGA